UAGAGAGAUGAAGAGACGGAAGAGCUGCUCAUAGGCAAAGCCACGUUCACGCCCGCAGAGAAGUGCUCCCACACCCCUGAAGAGGAGCUGCAGUAAACUGGCUUUAAGGGAAACCCAUGUGCAUGAGGAUGCCCUUGUCUCUGGCCUGGUGGGUGUACAGAGGACAGGAUCCUUCCAGUCAGACCCCUGCUUCUAAUCCUGCAGGAGAAAACAUACCCACGAAUCCACCAAGUCCAAGUUCACUCUUAACCCUGCUGUGGAAUUGCAGCCCUUUCUGUUUCAUGUUCCCUAAAUUGUUUGCAGCAGGCAGCUGUGCUGGGUUAGAAUCUCACAGGGGAUUCUGAGAUUCCAGACAGGGUAGGGGCUGGGAAGAAUACAAUUCACAUAUGUGGAGCAUCUGAGGAAUUUAAGGGCUAAAAAGAGAAGCUUCUGAAUGGAAGUGGCUAGGAUUCCUAGACCUUCAAAGGGCUCAGGAACAAUCUCAAGUCCAUCCAGGUACCUGGGACAGACCUUUCACAGGAAGUCAGUUCAACCAUCCCAUCAGUUGUAAACCCAUUUUAUCCCAGCUUCCCCGAGAGCCCAGUGCCAACAGCCACUUACUACAGCACCUGCCUGGGUUCAGAGAACCCCACCCCCCAAAGGUGUUUUGGUCACAUCAUCUCAGGGACACAGAUGCAGCCUUCAGAGUAGCUUUGAUUUCUGUCUCUCAUGAAUUUGGACAAGCUGCCAAUCCCAUUGGACCUGAUUGCCUCUACCCAAAGAAUAACUGAACUCAACUAUCAGAGAGAAAGACGGGCCCUAGCUCAAGGCAAGGAAAUUGAAAAAAAAUAAAAAUAAAAAAAAAAGUCUUAAAUGGUCUUCA